rnacentral:rRNA from 1 species
CACGUAGGGUGCGAGCGUUGUCCGGAAUUAUUGGGCGUAAAGAGCUCGUAGGCGGUGUGUCGCGUCGGCCGUGAAAACCUGCAGCUUAACUGUGGGCUUGCGGUCGAUACGGGCAUCACUGGAGUUCGGCAGGGGAGACUGGAAUUCCUGGUGUAGCGGUGGAAUGCGCAGAUAUCAGGAAGAACACCGGUGGCGAAGGCGGCUCUCUGGGCCUGUCCUGACGCUCAGGCGCGAAAGCUAGGGGAGCAAACAGG